UCGGGAAUUUUGGGCAAUGGGCGAAAGCCUGACCCAGCAACGCCGCGUGAGGGAUGAAGUAUUUCGGUAUGUAAACCUCGAAAGAAUGGGAAGAAUAAAUGACGGCACCAUUUAUAAGCUCCGGCUAACUACGUGCCAGCAGCCGCGGUAAUACGUAGGGAGCAAGCGUUGUUCGGAUUUACUGGGCGUAAAGGGCGCGUAGGCGGCGCGGUAAGUCACUUGUGAAAUCUCUGAGCUUAACUCAGAACGGCCAAGUGAUACUGCUGUGCUAGAGUGCGGAAGAGGCAACCGGAAUUCUUGGUGUAGCGGUCAAAUGCGUAGAUAUCAAGAGGAACACCUGAGGCGAAGGCGGGUUGCUGGGCCGACACUGACGCUGAUGCGCGAAAGCCAGGGGAGCAAACG
rnacentral:rRNA from 1 species